rnacentral:lncRNA from 1 species
UCACAGCACAGCUAAGAACACGGACAACAGGCAUGUCUGUGAGGAGUGAGGGCUCACUGUGAGCUCAAGAUGGGGGCCUCUGAUACAAAACGAUUUGUGGUUAGAACAGGAAUUUCAGGGUUCUUGUGGCCUGGGGUCUGUGGGGGCAGCAGUUACCUGCCAGGCUGGGGGACGUGGCAGAAAAGGUCCUUGCCUUGAGGAAAAAAUCAAGAAACAACGCCAAAUGCAUUAUGUCUGAGUGGAAGGUCCUCUGGGAAGCACCCAGGGCACAGGAACACAGUGUCUACUUCUCACCAAAGGAGCCCUCUCCUAUAUCCAGGCUGCAGCUCUCUUACAGCGCAUGCAGAGUCCCCCAGAGGAUGACAAUCACAUUUCUACAAGGCUGUCUAUUUCCCCAGGGGCUUUGGAUCUACGUUUCUGAAAUCUCUCGUGUCACAUAAAACUUUAGGGAGAAGCAAACCUCUUCUGCCCUCGCCUGCCAAAGAAAUCAAUCACACAGCCCCAGAGAGCGCAGCAUCUUAUACCAUUGUGCACUCCUGAGCAUAGAAAGCACAGCUUCCCUGCAUGGAGUAAGCAGGGUCUGUGUUUUCCUCCUACCUCCUGUAGGGUACAUCUGGCCCACAGCUCCCCCAUACUGUUUGUAAAACUUGCAUUAGGCACGUACACUAUGUUUUGAAUGGUGAAGGGCAUGGCCAACAAUAAUCUUGGGACUGGCUCUGUUCUGCUCAUCUAGAGGGCAGGGUUCGUAUGUGAAGCUCCCCUUCACCCAGUCUGCUCUGCUCUUUGUCUCUUAGGAAGCCAAGAUCAUUGCCUUUUAACCUUUGCUCUCAACACACACAUUCCUGGAAUCUCUUCCAAGUUCUUUCUAAAUUCUACCACCUCUUUUUUUGUUGCUAUUAUUAUUAUUAUUAUUAGGUGCUUACUCAGGCCUUACGAUCUCUCAGCAUC